rnacentral:rRNA from 1 species
CCUACGGGUGGCAGCAGUGGGGAAUCUUGCACAAUGGAGGAAACCCUGAUGCAGCGACGCCGCGUGAGUGAAGAAGUAAUUCGUUAUGUAAAGCUCUAUCAGCAGGGAAGAAAAUGACGGUACCUGAGUAAGAAGCACCGGCGAACUACGUGCCAGCAGCCGGGGUGAUACGUAGGGGGCAAGCGUUAGCCGGAUUUACUGGGUGGAAAGGGAGCGUAGACGGCAGUGACAGUCUGGAGUGAAAGGCGGGGGCUCAACCCACGGAACGCUCUGGAAACUGUACGGCUGGAGUGCAGGAGAGGUAAGUGGAAUUCCUAGUGUAGCGGUGAAAUGCGUAGAUAUUAGGAGGAACACCAGUGGCGAAGGCGGCUUACUGGACUGUAACUGACGUUGAGGCUCGAAAGCGUGGGGAGCAAACAGGAUUAGAUACCCCUGUAGUC